CAGUCGCCGCGGGAAUACGUAGGGUGCAAGCGUUAAUCGGAAUUACUGGGCGUAAAGCGUGCGCAGGCGGUUAUAUAAGACAGAUGUGAAAUCCCCGGGCUCAACCUGGGAACUGCAUUUGUGACUGUAUAGCUAGAGUACGGCAGAGGGGGAUGGAAUUCAGCGUGUAGCAGUGAAAUGCGUAGAUAUGCGGAGGAACACCGAUGGCGAAGGCAAUCCCCUGGGCCUGUACUGACGCUCAUGCACGAAAGCGUGGGGAGCAAACAGGAUUAGAGACCCCCGUAGUCCCUGUCUCUUAUAC
rnacentral:rRNA from 1 species